GGAUGGGUAGCUCAGUGGUUAGAGCUCAGGUCUCGUAACCGGAAGGCCCAGGGAUCGAAUCCCUCUAAAGGCA
rnacentral:tRNA from 1 species